rnacentral:lncRNA from 1 species
AGCGCGCAGCCGGCCGCCCUCAACCGCUCCCAGCAUCGGUCGCCAGUGGUUUGGGGCAGGGAGACGGCGCAGCGCGAGCGGAAAGGGCGGUUACCCAACGGCCUUCGCUCUCAUGGCGUCCUCCGUGGUGUUACCUAAAAAUAAAGUUAUUUGUGAUUAGAAGGUAAUCGCCUCCUGGUCAUGCUUCGGCUGGUCACCAGUGUCUGCGGGGCGACCCCAUCCUUGUGGCCAGAGAGGGCCUGUGGCUGUGCUCAAGGUGGGAGUGGUCCUUAGCGGGGCCCUGCGGGACGCCCAGGCCGCGCUACUUUCCGUUGCUCGCCUGGCCUUGAAGUGAAAAGGGGGAGGUUUAACAAUGCAGUGGGAACCCCAAAGUUUGUCCCGGCUGUGCCGCUCACAUUCCAAACAAUGCAAAAGCUUGAGGAAAACCUCAGCAGUUGAAACCGUGAUGCAUUUCAGCAAAGAAGUAGCUCCUGUCCUCGUAAAAUCAGUGUUCUCACGGACGACCUCAUUGAAAGUUUUCAUGGGCUGAGCUGCUUUCAGCCUGGGAACUGAGGCCAACAUCAGUCUCCUCAGCACACAAGUUUGAAAGAAGUCCUAGUGACUUCAAGCUCAGAACCAUGGAUGGCAGGGCUCCCUCUGGAUGUGGAAUUCUCCAUCCCUUUCCAGGGAGGGAACAAAGCCCACAAGCACCGAGACUCCUUCAGGGUGAGCAAAGUCCUGGAAACCUGUAUGCAGAUAAAGAAAAGGAAAGAAAGAGAUAAUCAGUGCAUGCAGUUGUCAGCUGGCUGGGACCUGAGGAGAGUCACUUGCGGAGGCACCUGGUCUUUAUCCCUAUUGUCCGGUACAAGGCAGGCAUUAAUCCUGUGAUCCUUAUCUGAAGCUCAGGUUUGAUUUUAUUCUUUUCUUAAGUACCUAGUGUUAUCCCCAAGCUUGUAAUAAUAGUUUAAUUGUUACAGCCAAUAUCUCACCUUCAGAAGUAAGAUGCUUAGGAAACCAAGACAAGGAACUGUGUGUUGCAAACAGCAUCACCCUGGAGAAGAGGUGGCAGGAGGUGACCUACAGAAAAUGGAGCAAUAGCCUAGAGCAAGAAACACAGAACAAAAGAGAAAUGAGGGGUUAGGCAACCUCCUGGAAGCACCAACAGGACAAGUACAUAUUCAGGGGCCUCCUAACAGCCUCGACUUCCAGCAUCCUCAGAUGGGGCUAGACACGUUACAUAGACAUUCAAGAGCAGAGAACUCAGGGACUUCUGAUUUAUAUCAAGAAAUGCAUACACAGCAGACGUGUGCCUGUAGAGUGGAAUUCUAGAAAAGCUCACAGCCCAGAACAUAAUGCAGACUCCCCCAGCCACAGUACCUUCCAACCCUGAGAAGAGUGCUGAUUCUCCAUCUGAGCACCCAUUCUCCUGCAACAUACAGGGGAGGAUUUCACCUAAGGGUCAGACCAGCAUCUCCAAACCCAGCUCCCCACCUUUGCCUGUUGGUGGCACUUGUGGGAGAAGGGGAGAUGGUAUGAAAAGAGCCACAACAGGAGUCACCUGGACAGGGUGGAGCUUGAUGGAAACUGACAUUUGUGCCCAUUGGAGGCAAAUGUAGAAUUUGGUAUCUUCCCUAGCGUCAGGCACAUGAAACUCUCCAGUGCCCAUGACUUUUGACAGUGACUUCAGAGCACAUCUGGGAGACCCAUGUGGCCCAGGCUCCACACAGGCAGGAGCUCAGCUUCACUCACAGCAGGAUUCCUAGUGCCAAGAACACCAUAGGUGCAUAGCAGGUGAUCAAAAUAAUUGUAUGUGGCUGAAUCAGUGAGAGGUAAGAGAGAGGACUUGAUCCUAGCUGCAAACUAAGUGACCUCAUUAAAACCUAACAUGUGGCUGGGUACGGUGGCUCACACCUGUAAGCCCAGCACUUUGGGAGGCCGAGGGGUGGAUCACCUGAGGUCAGGAGUUCGAGACAAGCCUGGCCAACAUGGUGAAACCCCAUCUCUACUAAAUAUACAAAAAAUUGGCUGGGCAUGGUGGCGGGCACCUGUAAUCCCAGCUACUUGGGAGGCUGAGGCAGGAGAAUCACUUGAACCUAGGAGGCGGAGGUUGCAGUGAGCCGAGAUUGCACCACUAUACUCCAGCCUGGCAAUAACAGCAAAACUCCGUCUCAAAAC